GACGAACGCUGGCGGCGUGCUUAACACAUGCAAGUCGAACGGAAAGGCCCUGCUUUUGUGGGGUGCUCGAGUGGCGAACGGGUGAGUAACACGUGAGUAACCUGCCCUUGACUUUGGGAUAACUUCAGGAAACUGGGGCUAAUACCGGAUAGGAGCUCCUGCUGCAUGGUGGGGGUUGGAAAGUUUCGGCGGUUGGGGAUGGACUCGCGGCUUAUCAGCUUGUUGGUGGGGUAGUGGAUUACCAAGGCUUUGACGGGUAGCCGGCCUGAGAGGGUGGCCGGCCACAUUGGGACUGAGAUACGGCCCAGACUCCUACGGGAGGCAGCAGUGGGGAAUAUUGCACAAUGGGCGGAAGCCUGAUGCAGCAACGCCGCGUGCGGGAUGACGGCCUUCGGGUUGUAAACCGCUUUCGCCUGUGACGAAGCGUGAGUGACGGUAAUGGGUAAAGAAGCACCGGCUAACUACGUG
rnacentral:rRNA from 1 species